rnacentral:rRNA from 1 species
CCCCGGCGAGGGGAGUGAAAAAGAACCUGAAACCGUGUACGUACAAGCAGUGGGAGCACGCUUAGGCGUGUGACUGCGUACCUUUUGUAUAAUGGGUCAGCGACUUAUAUUCUGUAGCAAGGUUAACCGAAUAGGGGAGCCGAAGGGAAACCGAGUCUUAACUGGGCGUUAAGUUGCAGGGUAUAGACCCGAAACCCGGUGAUCUAGCCAUGGGCAGGUUGAAGGUUGGGUAACACUAACUGGAGGACCGAACCGACUAAUGUUGAAAAAUUAGCGGAUGACUUGUGGCUGGGGGUGAAAGGCCAAUCAAACCGGGAGAUAGCUGGUUCUCCCCGAAAGCUAUUUAGGUAGCGCCUCGUGAAUUCAUCUCCGGGGGUAGAGCACUGUUUCGGCAAGGGGGUCAUCCCGACUUACCAACCCGAUGCAAACUGCGAAUACCGGAGAAUGUUAUCACGGGAGACACACGGCGGGUGCUAACGUCCGUCGUGAAGAGGGAAACAACCCAGACCGCCAGCUAAGGUCCCAAAGUCAUGGUUAAGUGGGAAACGAUGUGGGAAGGCCCAGACAGCCAGGAUGUUGGCUUAGAAGCAGCCAUCAUUUAAAGAAAGCGUAAUAGCUCACUGGUCGAGUCGGCCUGCGCGGAAGAUGUAACGGGGCUAAACCAUGCACCGAAGCUGCGGCAGCGACGCUUAUGCGUUGUUGGGUAGGGGAGCGUUCUGUAAGCCUGUGAAGGUGUGCUGUGAGGCAUGCUGGAGGUAUCAGAAGUGCGAAUGCUGACAUAAGUAACGAUAAAGCGGGUGAAAAGCCCGCUCGCCGGAAGACCAAGGGUUCCUGUCCAACGUUAAUCGGGGCAGGGUGAGUCGACCCCUAAGGCGAGGCCGAAAGGCGUAGUCGAUGGGAAACAGGUUAAUAUUCCUGUACUUGGUGUUACUGCGAAGGGGGGACGGAGAAGGCUAUGUUGGCCGGGCGACGGUUGUCCCGGUUUAAGCGUGUAGGCUGGUUUUCCAGGCAAAUCCGGAAAAUCAAGGCUGAGGCGUGAUGACGAGGCACUACGGUGCUGAAGCAACAAAUGCCCUGCUUCCAGGAAAAGCCUCUAAGCAUCAGGUAACAUCAAAUCGUACCCCAAACCGACACAGGUGGUCAGGUAGAGAAUACCAAGGCGCUUGAGAGAACUCGGGUGAAGGAACUAGGCAAAAUGGUGCCGUAACUUCGGGAGAAGG